GACGUAGGAGGCGAGCGUUGUCCGGAUUCAUUGGGCGUAAGGAGCACGCAGGCGGUUUGGCAAGUCGGAUGUGAAAGCCCGGAGCUCAACUCCGGACCUGCAUCCGAAACUGCCCGACUAGAGGUAGGUAGGGGAGAUCGGAAUUCCCGGUGUAGUGGUGAAAUGCGUAGAGAUCGGGAGGAACACCAGUGGCGAAGGCGGCUCGCUGGGCCGGUCCUGACGCUGAGACGCGAAGGCGUGGGGAGCGAACGGG
rnacentral:rRNA from 1 species